AUAGAUACCCGGGUAGUCCACGCCGUAAACGAUGGAUGCUAGCUGUUAUGCGUAUCGACCCGUGUAGUAGCGAAGCUAACGCGUUAAGCAUCCCGCCUGGGGAGUACGAACGCAAGUUUAAAACUCAAAGGAAUUGACGGGGACCCGCACAAGCGGUGGAGCGUGUUCUUUAAUUCGAGGCUAAGCGAAGAACCUUACCAGGGCUUGACAUCCUUGGAAUUUCUCCGAAAGGAGAGAGUACUUUAUUGGACCAAGUGACAGGUGCUGCAUGGCCGUCGUCAGCUCGUGUCGUGAGAUGUUUGGUUAAGUCCAUUAACGAGCGCAACCCUUAUGAAUAGUUGUAUUUUUCUAUUCAGACUGCCCCGGUAACGGGGAGGAAGGGGGGAUGAUGUCAGGUCAGUAUUGCCCUUACGCCCUGGGCUAGAAACGCGCUACAAUGGCCGGUACAAUGCGCUGCCAACCCGCGAGGGGGAGCAAAUCGCAUCAAAGCCGGUCCCAGUUCGGAUAAGAGGCUGAAACUCGCCUCUUUGAAGCCGGAAUCGCUAGUAAUCGU
rnacentral:rRNA from 1 species